rnacentral:lncRNA from 1 species
CAAAGACAGGAAUAACAGAAAGGAGGCUGCUGCAACAUUUGACACAGGGUAAGGAAGGUUUGAACCAGGAUCAGAAGGCCUUGUAAUAGAUCAAACAUGAGGAAACAGGCAGCAGGCCUACAUGGGCUCUGGAGACAGGCCUGAAUAUACCUUUGGUUCUCCUCUGAGCAAGAUAUUUAACUUCCUGAGUCCCGGUUACCUCAACUGCAAAAAGGAAGAAAUAAUGUUACCUCACAGGGACAUUUUGAAGAUUAAAUAAGAUUUAAGUAAAGCGUUUAAUAGUCUUAGAGAAAUUUUAGGAAAUUAUAGGAAAAUAAGAUUUUGUGUCUGCUUUCCCUGCUUUCCCACUCCUAGAGGAGCUUGUCUGAAACCCAGGCAGUCUGACAGCAAGGCAAAACUAUACAUCUCUGAAAGCACUAGUAAGGAAGAGAUAAACGUGGACCUAGGUCCUUCAGGAGUCAGAAAGGAAAAGGUCUGCUUACUGAGUGGUAAAUGGAGGCUGGGAGACUGGAAGCUUGGAAAGCUGGAUUCCAGAUAUUCACAGGACCCCAGAAGACAAUGUACACAGAGCUUUUUGUUCCUAGGUCCUACUCAGUAUCUGCCUUGCGGAUUUCAUAGAUAAGGCCUACACACUCAACGGACUUCCUUCCCUUCUCCAGCUCCUCAUUACCCUAAAAAAUGUCUACAAACCCACUCCCACUCUGAAUGCAGCUCUACUCCAUCUCAAAAUGUCCCCUUUCCCCAGAAAUAUCCAGUGACUUCCAGGCCCACCUCCAAGGGCCCAGACCUCUAAGAGUCAAGAAGAAAAGCUAUGCUAUAUGCUUCACUUAUCUUCAAUACAGGAACUUCUGCAAGAAGGCAAGAGGCACUCAGCCCUGCACUCAAGAACCUCAAUCCUCUCAGUGGUAUCAGAAGUCCUACUUAGGCUGUUAGAAGUUCCUGCUGAUUCCUCCCCCUGAAUCAACCAGCAAGUUCCUGGCACUAGGACCCUGUAGACAGGGAACCCUGAGCCUGCGCUCUAAAGAGAGAGAUGCACCAUUUCACAACUUCAGCAAAAGCCAAAGCAGCCAACAAAGCCACAGCCCUAUCGGCUGUACUGGGCUCUGCCUUUUGGGCAGCUCGCCGGCCACUCCCCAAAAGCAGAGCAUUCCAUCCUUUCUCUUUUUAAACCCACGUC